AUUGAACGCUGGCGGCAGGCCUAACACAUGCAAGUCGGACGGUAGCACAGAGGAGCUUGCUCUUCGGGUGACGAGUGGCGGACGGGUGAGUAAUGUCUGGGGAUCUGCCCGAUAGAGGGGGAUAACCACUGGAAACGGUGGCUAAUACCGCAUAACGUCGCAAGACCAAAGAGGGGGACCUUCGGGCCUCUCACUAUCGGAUGAACCCAGAUGGGAUUAGCUAGUAGGCGGGGUAACGGCCCACCUAGGCGACGAUCCCUAGCUGGUCUGAGAGGAGGACCAGCCACACUGGAAGUGAGACUCGGUCCAGACUCCUACGGGAGGCAGCAGUGGGGAAUAUUGCACAAUGGGCGCAAGCCUGAUGCAGCCAUGCCGCGUGUAUGAAGAAGGCCUUCGGGUUGUAAAGUACUUUCAGCGGGGAGGAAGGCGAUGUGGUUAAUAACCGCGUCGAUUGACGUUACCCGCAGAAGAAGCACCGGCUAACUCCGUGCCAGCAGCCGCUGUAA
rnacentral:rRNA from 1 species